rnacentral:rRNA from 1 species
GAUGAACGCUAGCUACAGGCUUAACACAUGCAAGUCGAGGGGCAGCAUGAACUUAGCUUGCUAAGUUUGAUGGCGACCGGCGCACGGGUGAGUAACACGUAUCCAACCUGCCGAUGACUCGGGGAUAGCCUUUCGAAAGAAAGAUUAAUACCCGAUGGCAUAGUUCUUCCGCAUGGUAGAACUAUUAAAGAAUUUCGGUCAUCGAUGGGGAUGCGUUCCAUUAGGUUGUUGGCGGGGUAACGGCCCACCAAGCCUUCGAUGGAUAGGGGUUCUGAGAGGAAGGUCCCCCACAUUGGAACUGAGACACGGUCCAAACUCCUACGGGAGGCAGCAGUGAGGAAUAUUGGUCAAUGGGCGAGAGCCUGAACCAGCCAAGUAGCGUGAAGGAUGAAGGCUCUAUGGGUCGUAAACUUCUUUUAUACGGGAAUAAAGUGAGGCACGUGUGCCUUUUUGUAUGUACCGUAUGAAUAAGGAUCGGCUAACUCCGUG